UACGUAGGGCGCAAGCGUUAUCCGGAAUUAUUGGGCGUAAAGAGCUCGCAGGCGGUUUGUCGCGUCUGCCGUGAAAGUCCGGGGCUCAACUCCGGAUCUGCGGUGGGUACGGGCAGACUAGAGUGAUGUAGGGGAGACUGGAAUUCCUGGUGUAGCGGUGAAAUGCGCAGAUAUCAGGAGGAACACCGAUGGCGAAGGCAGGUCUCUGGGCAUUAACUGACGCUGAGGAGCGAAAGCAUGGGGAGCGAACAGG
rnacentral:rRNA from 1 species